rnacentral:miRNA from 1 species
UAAGAACUCAUGAAUAAAUGCA